UACGUAGGUGGCGAGCGUUAUCCGGAAUUAUUGGGCGUAAAGAGCGCGCAGGUGGUUGAUUAAGUCUGAUGUGAAAGCCCACGGCUUAACCGUGGAGGGUCAUUGGAAACUGGUCGACUUGAGUGCAGAAGAGGGAAGUGGAAUUCCAUGUGUAGCGGUGAAAUGCGUAGAGAUGUGGAGGAACACCAGUGGCGAAGGCGACUCUCUGGUCUGUAACUGACGCUGAGGUGCGAAAGCGUGGGGAGCAAACAGGAUUAGA
rnacentral:rRNA from 1 species